rnacentral:rRNA from 1 species
UACAUGGGGUGCAAACGUUGCUCGGAAUUAUUGGGCGUAAAGCGCACGUAGGCGGUUCGUUAAGUCGGAUGUGAAAGCCCUCGGCUCAACUGAGGAACUGCACCCGAAACUGGCGAGCUUGAGUACGAAAGAGGAUCGCGGAAUUCCCGGUGUAGAGGUGAAAUUCGUAGAUAUCGGGAGGAACACCGGUGGCGAAGGCGGCGAUCUGGGUCGAUACUGACGCUGAGGUGCGAAAGCGUGGGGAGCAAACAGG